GACGAACGCUGGCGGCGUGCUUAACACAUGCCAGUCGAACGGACAGGCCCUGCUUUUGUUGGUUUCUCGUUUGGCGAACGGGGGAGUAACACGUGAGUAACCUGCCCUUGUCUUUCUGGUAACUUCACGGGACUGCGGCUCAUACCGGGGAUAAUCUCCCGCUGCAUGUGGGUGGUUGGAAAGUGUCGGCGGUGGGGGAUGUAUUCGCGGCUUCUCCGCUUGAUUGGCUGGUAGUGGCUUACCAGGGCUUUGACGGGUAGCCGGCGUGAGAGGGGGACCGGGCACAUUGGGACUGAGAUAGGGCGCAGACGGGUACGGGAGGCAGUAGUGGGGAAUCUUGCAGAAUGGGCGGAAGCGUGAUGCAGCAACGCCGCGUGCGGGAAGACGGCCUUCGGGGGGUAAACCGAUUUCGACUGUGACGAAGCGGGAGUGACGGUAAUGGGUAAAGAAGCAACGGCUAACUACGUG
rnacentral:rRNA from 1 species